rnacentral:lncRNA from 1 species
CUUUUACAGGCAAUGACUGCACAGCCUGCAAGAGGCCUGUUUUGGACAUUAGUUGUUAAUGUAAGUAAUAAUGAUAAUGAAUUGCCUACUUGAAUGUUGUAUACAUAUGUCUAAAAGGGUUGCCUUUUAAAAAUAGAUAAUGAAUAGAAUAGGCUUUGGACAAAUGUGAUCUCUGAAUGAAGGCAUCUUCUUGUUUAUUAACAGCCACAGGUGUUCUGAGUCCAUGUCUUCCAGGCCAGUGACCCUGAUUG